rnacentral:rRNA from 1 species
GACGAACGCUGGCGGCGUGCUUAACACAUGCAAGUCGAACGGAAAGGCCCUGCUUUUGUGGGGUGCUCGAGUGGCGAACGGGUGAGUAACACGUGAGUAACCUGCCCUUGACUUUGGGAUAACUUCAGGAAACUGGUGCUAAUACCGGAUAGGAGCUCCUGCUGCAUGGUGGGGGUUGGACAGUUUCGGCGGUUGGGGAUGGACUCGCGGCUUAUCAGCUUGUUGGUGGGGUAGUGGCUUACCAAGGCUUUGACGGGUAGCCGGCCUGAGAGGGUGACCGGCCACAUUGGGACUGAGAUACGGACCAGACUGCUACGGGAGGCAGCAGUGGGGAAUAUUGCACAAUGGGCGGAAGCCUGAUGCAGCAACGCCGCGUGCGGGAUGACGGCCUUCGGGUUGUAAACCGCUUUAGCCUGUGACGAAGCGUGAGUGACGGUAAUGGGUAAAGAAGCACCGGCUAACUACGUG